UCUGUUUGAGAUAUGGACACCAAUAUUUGAUUAGUUCAACAUAAUUCUACAGGUGUCUCUAAUGUAAAUCAGGAAAAUGCGAGGAAGAAAGUAGUUGAGACAAUUCUGAGUUAAACAAGGUAUGUUGUACCAAGCUGUAAGACAAAGCUACUUAACAGCAUAAUGCAGAUAAAGGUACAGGCUUGCCACAACAAGAAGGCAUGGUAUAAAGAUAAUGUAAUUGAGGCUCUGGAUUGGUUAUGGGAGAGGCAUCGUCCAUAUGUCCUUUCUGCAGAUAUUUUUUUUAAGAGAAUAGUCAGAUUAUGUCCAUGUUGGAUGGAAAAAAGUUUCUGAUUAUGAUUAUUUCUUUUAAUUCAAUACGAAACAUUGUUGCGAAGUA